rnacentral:rRNA from 1 species
GAUGAACGCUGGCGGCGUGCUUAACACAUGCAAGUCGAACGGGAAACCUUUUAUUGAAGCUUCGGCAGAUUUAGCUGGUUUCUAGUGGCGGACGGGUGAGUAACGCGUGGGUAACCUGCCUUAUACAGGGGGAUAACAACCAGAAAUGGUUGCUAAUACCGCAUAAGCGCACAGGACCGCAUGGUCCGGUGUGAAAAACUCCGGUGGUAUAAGAUGGACCCGCGUUGGAUUAGCUAGUUGGCAGGGUAACGGCCUACCAAGGCGACGAUCCAUAGCCGGCCUGAGAGGCUGAGCGGCCACAUUGGGACUGAGCCACGGCCCAGAAUCCUACGGGAGGCAGCAGUGGGGAAUAUUGCACAAUGGGGGAAACCCUGAUGCAGCGACGCCGCGUGAAGGAAGAAGUAUCUCGGUAUGUAAACUUCUAUCAGCAGGGAAGAUAGUGACGGUACCUGACUAAGAAGCCCCGGCUAACUACGUG